CGUUUUCAGAGACAGUGGAAGAUACAGAAUCAUUCUUACAUUAUGUUUCUUCUUUGAAGAGGAACUUGAGACACAAAUCUAAUGGCAUAGGAAGGCACUGAAAUAAGGCAUUGAAAUAAGGUAAGAGGUUGUCAAGACAUUACAAUGUUAAGGACUUCACUUUCCCAACACUCUAUGGACAAAAAUUGUCUCUUCAAAUUGUGAAAAAGGAAACUGGAUUUUAAAGGUGUCACAUGAAUUUUUGAGCCAAAUUAACACACAGCAUGAUUUUUAAAAUUACUGACAAAGGUUGUUUGAGUUGCUCUGUGAAUUUCUGUCUAUAUUUGGAGGAUGUGUAAACCAUUCAGAAACACUGUCCAGCUGAGCUGAAAACUAAGCAGAGAGUGGACAAUCCUGCCUAAUAAAAUCCUUGAAGUUUUGAGUACUUUCUUUGCA
rnacentral:lncRNA from 1 species